UACGGAGGGUGCAAGCGUUAUCCGGAUUCACUGGGUUUAAAGGGUGCGUAGGUGGCUUUGUAAGUCAGUGGUGAAAUCUCGGAGCUUAACUCCGCAACUGCCAUUGAUACUGCUUAGCUUGAAUCAAGUAGAGGUGGAUGGAAUAUUACAUGUAGCGGUGAAAUGCUUAGAUAUGUAAUAGAACACCGAUUGCGAAGGCAGUUCACUAUGCUUGUAUUGACACUGAGGCACGAAAGCGUGGGGAU
rnacentral:rRNA from 1 species